rnacentral:sRNA from 1 species
AUCCCUGGUUGGAUGCUUGAACUUUAAUCGAACCACUUCGUAUGGGCAAGACGAACAACACUCAACAAUAAGGAUGGGAUAGAGAGAUUCAAGACGUAUGAGUGGAGCUGCUACUGUUGCGCUUUCACGUAAUUUAUCACCAUCCGUGCGCUGUCGUUCCCUACUCAAUACUGCGGAUUGUUGAAGUUGAAGCAGUUGAUCUCUCCUGCACCAGCAAGAGGGAAAAUAAAAAAUAAACGCCAAGGAAAAGAAAAGCAAAGAAAGCCGUUCAGCACUCGCAUCAUCCCCUUACCCUUCAUCCAACCAUUUGAUCCCCCUGCGUGACGGGAUGGAUGGAAGCCUGCAAGCAACCAGGAAAGUUUACUGUCGGUGCGGCUAGAUACAGGGAAUAAUCUCUGCUCCCCCGGCACAUACCCGUCCAUAUCCACAACACCGCGGAAUUGCGCCGACGCCACGAUAAUAUUAAUCCAACUGAACUCUGCAAGUACCUUGAAGUGAAGAUGAAAUGAUUGUCCAUGGCUUUCAUUUGUUAUUUCCACGUAUGAAACAAGAUCUCCUAUCGAUACUAUUUUUCGAGUGGUGAUAUCUAGAUCUCCUGUCGAUUCCGUACUUGUACGGAACAUUGCGUCUUGGCUUCAAUUAUGACAGAUGGCCGUGGGUAACAACUUGAAAUGUUUGACCAACGGCGGAACAUGCGUUUUCCAACCGAAC